rnacentral:rRNA from 1 species
UACGGAGGGUGCAAGCGUUGCUCGGAAUUAUUGGGCGUAAAGGGUAGGUAGGUGGUCUCAUUUGUCUGGGGUGAAAGCCUUGAGCUUAACUCAAGAAGUGCCCCAGCAACGGUGAGACUAGAGUCCUGGAGAGGGUCGUGGAAUUCCCGGUGUAGCGGUGAAAUGCCUAGAGAUCGGGAGGAACACCAGAGGCGAAAGCGGCGACCUGGACAGGCACUGACACUCAACUACGAAAGCGUGGGGAGCAAACAGG